rnacentral:rRNA from 1 species
GACGAACGCUGGCGGCGUGCCUAAUACAUGCAAGUAGAACGCACAGUUUAUACCGUAGCUUGCUACACCAUAGACUGUGAGUUGCGAACGGGUGAGUAACGCGUAGGUAACCUGCCUGGUAGCGGGGGAUAACUAUUGGAAACGAUAGCUAAUACCGCAUAAUAUUAAUUAUUGCAUGAUAAUUGAUUGAAAGAUGCAACUGCAUCACUACCAGAUGGACCUGCGUUGUAUUAGCUAGUAGGUGAGGUAACGGCUCACCUAGGCGACGAUACAUAGCCGACCUGAGAGGGUGAUCGGCCACACUGGGACUGAGACACGGCCCAGACUCCUACGGGAGGCAGCAGUAGGGAAUCUUCGGCAAUGGACGAAAGUCUGACCGAGCAACGCCGCGUGAGUGAAGAAGGUUUUCGGAUCGUAAAGCUCUGUUGUAAGAGAAGAACGGGUGUGAGAGUGGAAAGUUCACACUGUGACGGUAGCUUACCAGAAAGGGACGGCUAACUACGUG